GCGCGGAGGACGACCAAUUCCUCCUGGAGGAGAUGCGCACCGACUACUUCAACCUGGUGAAGGCGGCCGAGGUCGGCUCCAGUUUCUUCGGGGACGCUCUUCUUGUCGUCCUUUGCCAGAACCUCUACGAGACUUUCCACCUCUGCUACAAGAUCAUCAUCCUCUCCGAGUCGGUCACUUUCUCCAUGGUUCUCCACUACUUCUAUGACUACUAUAUGAUCCACUCUAUGACCACAGCCGCGGAGAACAUGAUCAAGGCUAGUAAAUCGAUUGUCAAGGAUUUGAGAUGCCUACCAAUGCAGUAUCUUCCUAAUUCCUGGCUGAACCAGAUCGAGAUCAUGUCCGUUCAAAUCCAGGCGAUUCCUCUGGUUAUCUCAGCAUCCGGCUAUUUCAAUAUUAAUCGCAGUCUACUCCUAUCGAUUCUCACCAGUAUCGUAAUGUACCUAAUUGUGCUGAUUCAACUUGCUCCAAUCGUGAAAAAAAUCGAAAGAGAAACGGCUCAGAACUGAAAUCAAGAAGCGAGAGAAAACCUCUCGUCCCGCAAAAUGGAUAUCAACACUGAUCUGCUCACCUCGGAAAAAUGUUAGAUACCUAAUGUUGCAAACAACGCGUCCGCACAAUGUCUCCGAUUGAAAAGCACGAUGGCUACAGCGAAAUACUUAAAUAAUUAAUAAUUAAAUAAUAAAAAUAAAGCUGCUAAUAAUAAUAAAAGCAGCAGCAGCUUUAAAUAAUUAAAAGAGAGACUCAAUAUUUUUCAGUGCCGCGAAAAAACCGAAUAAAUUCGUCUAUAAACGUUGGCAACGCUGUGCUGAUUUUGACGAUGACUACCUCAACUCUUGGUACGGUACCAAUGGUACCCAAGCCGACUUUUAAUGACCUGAGGCUAACUGAAAACACAUGACUCGGGUCGCGGGUUGCAUGGGGCCGGUACUUACGAGUUUUAGUCACAGGUCUACUAUACACCGUAAAAAAUAAUCAGACAGCAUCAAAUUAAAAUAAAAGACACGCAAAUCGAGAAUCAAGGAAUUUUUUUGAUAAAGUACCCCUUGAAAUCUCAAUCCGGGUCAAAUUGACCCGACCAUCUCCUUUCAGAGAGUCUUGGUGUUGCCUCAAUCGCAGAAUGUAAGUAGUAGAACAUUGCGAGUUCUCGCCUCGCGCCUUCAAUUUUGCAGAUGCAACAUGGACAUCCAUCAAGCACGAAUAGUUGUAUCCCUGCGCCGUUAUCAACCCGCGUAGAGGAGUCUCUUGUUUUUGAAAUGUAUGAGAAAAAUUUAGGUUACGUUAGCAGAGUAUGCUAGAAUAAGUCCAGUCAAUGAUCAUUUUGGAAAAAAAGUAAAAACAUGUUUAAAGGUCUCAAAAACGUCUUAAAGGGUGCAUGUCUAAAAGUUGGUAUUUUGGCCAGAGUUGUGUCGAGUCAGGAUAUUUUUUUUUAACGUCUAUCCCUGAAAAUACGAAGCCGGGUUAAACUGACCCAAGUACCUCUUCUGCAGGGGGAAUUACAUGUGGCGGCUGAUGGUUGAGAAGGCACUAUAUGUUACCAAAAAUGUAAAAAAAAAAAAAAAACCCGCAUUUCUCACCCUCAAAAAUGUAGAGAUAACAUGGAAAUAAUACUUCGAAACUAUCAAAAUCAAUGUAUUUGAAUACGGGUCAGUUUGACCCGCCAUGGAACUUCCAGGCGUUAAAGGUCUUUGGCAUCUAUAAGAAAUAAAAAAUAAUAUACCAUUUGAAAGUUAAUAACGUCUUUUUUCAUUUCCUUUUCAAUUUUGGGGAAAAUCUUC
rnacentral:lncRNA from 1 species